GUCUACCUCGGCCUGCUAAGGAACUCCUGGAGAGUUCCCAUUGGUUGGGGAAGUGAGAAAUUGUGACCAGCUUUUACUAUGAAGAAGCAACAAUGAUUAGAGCAACGUAGACAUGACGCAGAUGACCUCAGUGCCUCAUCUGUCUUCCUGGGACCUAACCAUGCCGAUAUUGGCCCACAGACCACCACUGAAAAUGUGCCAAGGGAAAGAAGCCAGACACAAAAGAACAGAACCGACUCACAAAACUGUGGAGAUGGACAAGUCCAAAAUCUGUAGGGUGAAACAGCAGGCUGGAGACCAAGGAAGAGUUAAUGCUGCAGAUCCAGCCUCUGGCUGUUAAGAAUUCUUCCUGGCUUGGGAGAUGUUCAGUCCUUCAACUGACUGCAUGAGGCCCACUCGCAUUAUGUGUGGACUUCUUUACUCACAGUCCACCCAUUUACAUGUAAAUCUCAUACAAAAACAUGUUCACAGAAACAUCUACAAUAAUGUUUAAUUGAAUAUCUCAGCAUCAGGGUCCAGUCAAGUUGACACAUAAAAAUUAACAUAUAUCCUAUUGCUCCUGUUUUUUUCUGGAAACUACUAACUAGGAAAUCAGCUGACAGUUCAAAUUCUUGGCAUCAUGCUUGAGAGUCUGAAUAAUAGAAUCAUCCAACCCAGCAAGAUGAGUAAGUUUGUCAAUUUAGAGUAGGCUAAUUAAUAUAGAACGAGGUGUGUGUUGGGGGUGGAGAAUGAAGCAUUUUUACUUUGGUAUUUAUAUUUUGGGAUGGUGGGCAUUGAAACUCCAGUUCUCUCACCACCAUUAACUGUACUCACCUCGUUCACCAUUUAUUUAAGAGGUUCCAGGCCCUGGGAUUACACAGAAAACAAGGCAAACUCCUCUCUCCAUGGGUUUACAUUCUUCUUUUUUUUUUACACUGCAACAG